GACCUCAGGCCUCUGUCACCCCCUUAUAAAUGGCCCAGGGUUCUAGGGAGUUGGCUGCAGCUGGGCCUCAUAGCAGCCCCCAGCCUGCCAACUGUGGGCAGGAGCUUGGAGCCAGAUGGCUUGGGGUUGAGAAUGUGCCGGUGCCUGGAGGUCCCUGAGCCUGAGCCUCCCCCCAACCCCAGGGAUCUCCAUGAUCGCCCGGAUGUCAGCACGCAGCGAUUCAUUUGUAAAGAGCUUUGUUUCUGAGCUGGUGGCUGUGGGAUGAGAAACCAAUUUUUAGAACUUGACUAAGCAAAAACAGGAAACAACCCAGAUGUCCCUCAGCUGGGGCUGGAUAAACAGGCUGUGGCCUGCCCCUGCAAUGGAAUACUACUCGGUGACAAAAAGGCGUGCGUCGCCGGAGCUGCCCCACCGAUGCUGGCUCACAAGGCUGUGCUCGUCGGGUUCUGCUGUCGGCACAGAGCUCAGGCUGCCGUUGCCAGGGCCGUGGGGCUCCUUGGGGGGAUGGAGUGUCCUAUAUCUUGAUUAUGGUCACGGUUACAUGACCACAUGCAUUGGUCAGAACUCCCAGAGCUGUGGAUGAAAAAGCGGCAUUUUCCUGUAUGUCAUAUACUGCCUGUAAAUAAAACAUUGGAAAGGGUUCUUUCUUUGCACGCGACACAGACGGCAGCCUGGAACGGGCCCAGCUGGGCACUGCUGAGAAAGCAGAGGCGGCUCCACGCUCACCGUGACAGCCGGGAGAGGACCUCACGCCGUCUGUCCCUUCGUCCCUCGAUGGGCCUGGAGCCCAGGAAGGGCUCUCGGGGUGGGGGUCUUCCCUCACAGGCCUGGCUGCCCGUGGACAACAGUGGCGCCCUCCCCAGCACUUGCCUGGCCUGGGGGAGAGUGGCCGGCGGGGCGGGCCUCGAGCGGGGACUGGGAGGUGUCCUGGGGCUGAAAGGCAGGACUCCGUUGGAGGAGCCCUGCUUCCAUUGACAUAACAACUGGGGAAGUGUCACUAAACUCACAAACAAGCCAACAGCAGAAAGGUUACGCCAUGUGGGGGAGGGGGACAGAGGUCGAAGAGUGGCACCUCGGAGCCGCUCAGCCCCUCGGCUUCUCUCCCAUUCCAGCCAGAUGCCUUCAAAGGUCCUCGGCUAAGUAAACACUGGGACUCCCAUUUCCUCCUGCACAGCAGCCACAGAGAUUCCAGGACUGCUCCGGAGAAGCACCGGCUCCCUCCUUUCCUGCAGACUGGCUCCCAGCCUCUCCUCCAGGGACCCCGACAGCCUUCUGCGGGAAUUACCUGCGGGGGGAGCCCAGAAGCCCCGCCCGAGGCGUGCCUAGGUCAUCAUCUCCCCGCGCCAGCCCCUACGCCGAUGCGGACAGGCCGGGCCUGGCGUUCCGGCUUCCAGCAGCUGCGCACAUGCCUGCGAUGUGACUUUCCCAGGUGGUAAAGUUCCAAACGCAGCAACGUGUUCUCCCCUCAGUGGACACAGGAGAUGCUUUCCUGAAAAAGUCAGCGAGGAUUAAACGUGCAGCAAAGGUCCCCGGGGCAUAUUUUCUGAAGUUCUAGCUCAGGCUCUGGGUACAGGCAGGGCGCUGCCGGACACUGCUCUCUGACGGCCUCUCUCCAUGGCAGAGGCCUCCUCGGCUCAGGGUAGUGGAAACUUGGUCUUCUGUGCAUCUGCGACAUCACAUCUGGGUGGGUGAGACCUUUCUGUGCCCUUUCUACGUCACCCGGAGCCCGUGACGCCCGCUCAUCUGUCUGGCUGGAAUCGCCGCCUGGCCCCUCACCACGGUUAUUGCCUUUCGUGCCGAGUUGCUUGGGUUUGCUGUGUUAUUGGCUCGUUUUUCAUUCUGCAUCUGCAGUAGCCAGACUUGGAGAUGAAAAGCGUGUGGCGCCUAACCAUGAUGAAAGAGGGGCGCGUGCGAGUGCCCGCGCGUCUGAAAAGGACCUUUUAGAGGCGGAGGAGCAGAGGAGGAGAGUGACUGUGGGCUCAGCUGGUCCUGUGGCCCCGUGGUCUGGAUGGUGUGGCCGGAGCCUGGCCUCUCAGAGCCGAGGCUUCCCCAGCUGUGAGGCGAGAGAGGGAGAUUCGCCUUGCAGAGUUCCACGGCGCGGCGCGGAGCGGCCACUCCAUAAGCAUCGUUGCCUUAGCUGUAAUAUGUUAUCACUAUAACGUAUAUCUAUGAGUCAUAAAAUAAUAGAACUAUUUUAUUUUGGAGAUCUCUUAGAAAACAUAAACAGGAGAAAGAACCGUGAAAUGGCUGACUUGAGAAUAGCUUCCGCUCUGCUAUUCAAUUACCCUUCCCUCUUUCUCCCCCUCUCUCUCCUGCAAUUUGAUUAUUUCGGGGCCCACAAUGCACUUGUGCCAACAUCUCUAGGCCUCUCCGGAGGGUGCACACAAGUGAAAUAAACAGGCCUUGUCUGCACCCUCUCUCUUUGGGAGUGGUGUGGGUAAGGAGACCCCCUACAAAGUCAUUUUAUCCCUCAGGUUCAUGGGUGAGCAGGAGCGAUGGGGGACACAGUGGUAGUCUGUGUACCCUGGCGGUGUUCUCCCCAUUCUGAGAAAUUAAGUAAUACACACCAGGUUACAGAACAACCAAGGGGCAGGGCUAGGCUUCUAACUCAGGUGUCUGGAACACAGUGUUUUCCAUUUCAAUAUUCAGUCAUCAUUCAGCAAACAGUGAUCACAUGGGUUCCAGGGUGCUACGCGUCGGGGGCCGGGCGAGCAAGAAGCCGGGUCCCGUGGCAGCCGCAUUGUGGUGGGACAGUCAGAAAAUAAACAUAGGCCAGGCGAAGGCCCAGGAUAACUUCACCGCCACCGAGGGCUUUGGGAAGAGGCCCUAAGGGGAUGUGUCAGUGGCGAUGGGGUCUGCUGCACGGGGCGGGCGGCAGAGGGCUCCGGGGGAGGUCAGGGCCGUAGACACCCGCCGCUGUCUCAACAGUUUGUGAAGUUUCCACAUGGGCUCGUGAUGUGGGGAAAUUUGUCCCUUGUUCGAGCUACAGAGGAGAAUGGGGUGCAGGUGCCAGCUGUUGGUCAGUUCGCCGCUGGCCACCAUCUAGCCCUGCCCUUCAGUGGCUAGAUCCUCAUCAGAUACUUGGGUGCCAGGGACCCAGGAGACCUGUCCCUUGCAGUAUAUGGGAACUCUGUACCUUCCUCCCAGUUUUGCUGUAAACCUAAACAGUUCUUAAAAAGUAGAAGAAAAAAAAAAAACCACAAAACCCCAGCCCCCUAACUGGCCCCUUGGAGAAAAUGGUGAACCCACCCUGAGAAAAGGCCAGUGCCCUGGAAAUCUCUCUUGUUCUGUUCAUGAGGCAUCAUCAUGGGUAGGAAAGAAAUGUAUAGACAUUUCUGUGAUAUUUCUCUGCUUUUCCGGGGGUAAGUACACCCCAAAGGGUAUCUGUGCAUUUGGAAGGUUUGCAGGUUCCGUGGUAGGCCUAUUUCCUGCCAGUCAAGCAAGGUUCCCAAUACUGGAGGCUUCCUCAGACCUGGUCCGAGACAAACGUGGUGAGUCCGUCACGGCACAGCUCCUGGAGCCUCAGAACCCCCACG